rnacentral:rRNA from 1 species
UACGGAGGGAGCAAGCGUUACUCGGAAUUAUUGGGCGUAAAGGGCGCGUAGGCGAUUUGAAAAGUCUUGUGUGAAAGCCCCGAGCUUAACUCGGGAAGUGCACAAGAAACUGUUGAAUUUGAGUUCCGGAGAGGAAGGCAGAAUUCCCGGUGUAGCGGUGAAAUGCGUAGAUAUCAGGAGGAAUACCAGUGGCGAAGGCGGCCUUCUGGACGGAUACUGACGCUGAGGCGCGAAAGCCAGGGGAGCAAACGGG